UGGCUCAUUAUAUAAGUUAUCGUUUAUUUGAUAGUGCCUUACUACUUGGAUAACCGUGGUAAUUCUAGAGCUAAUACAUGCUACAAGCCCUGACUUCGGAAGGGGCGUAUUUAUUAGAUUAAAAACCAAUGCCCUCUGGGCUCCUUGGUGAAUCAUGAUAACUUCACGAAUCGCACGGCCUUGCGCCGGCGAUGGCUCAUUCAAAUUUCUUCCCUAUCAACUUUCGAUGUUUGGGUAGUGGCCAAACAUGGUUGCAACGGGUAACGGAGGGUUAGGGCUCGACCCCGGAGAAGGAGCCUGAGAAACGGCUACUACAUCCAAGGAAGGCAGCAGGCGCGCAAAUUACCCAAUCCCGAUUCGGGGAGGUAGUGACAAUAAAUACUGAUACAGGGCUCUUUCGGGUCUUGUAAUCGGAAUGAGUACAAUUUAAAUCCCUUAACGAGGAACAAUUGGAGGGCAAGUCUGGUGCCAGCAGCCGCGGUAAUUCCAGCUCCAAUAGCGUAUAUUAAAGUUGUUGUGGUUAAAAAGCUCGUAGUUGAACCUUGGGCCUGGCUGGCCGGUCCGCCUCACCGCGUGUACUGGUCCGGCCGGGCCUUUCCCUCUGUGGAACCUCAUGCCCUUCACUGGGUGUGCUGGGGAAACAGGACUUUUACUUUGAAAAAAUUAGAGUGCUCCAGGCAGGCCUAUGCUCGAAUACAUUAGCAUGGAAUAAU
rnacentral:rRNA from 1 species